rnacentral:lncRNA from 1 species
ACUCCAUUAAGGUUUUUUGGUACUGAUGUACAGUGUAAAUGAUCCAUUUUGUCUUUCACAAACCAAUAUUCUCUUAAAAUACUUGGCGUUUUAGGUGCAAUUCAGAAUGUAAUAGAGAAGGAGACUCAACCCUCAAGGAAGUUGCAAUCUAAAGGCAAUCUGUCCUUCAAUGGCGAAAUGCUCUGCGAAUGUGAAGUACCUUCCCCACUCCUCUGCAGAGAGAAAUUGCCUUUUGCUUUGGUGCUAUGCAGUGAGAGUGAAGUCCCUGCCCUUAACUAUUAGCUUUAGAGAACAAUUUGAAGAAGAGAUGUUUGAAACUAUUUGCUGA